rnacentral:rRNA from 1 species
UAGGGAAUAUUGGACAAUGGGCGCAAGCCUGAUCCAGCCAUCCCGCGUGAAGGAUUAAGGUCCUAUGGAUUGUAAACUUCUUUUCUCUGGGAAUAAAAACCGGUAUUUAUACUGGCUUGAAGGUACCAGAGGAAUAAGCACCGGCUAACUCCGUGCCAGCAGCCGCGGUAAUACGGAGGGUGCAAGCGUUAUCCGGAUUCACUGGGUUUAAAGGGUGCGUAGGUGGCUUUGUAAGUCAGUGGUGAAAGCCCGGAGCUUAACUCCGGAACUGCCAUUGAUACUGCUUAGCUUGAAUCAACUUGAGGUGGAUGGAAUAUUACAUGUAGCGGUGAAAUGCUUAGAUAUGUAAUAGAACACCUAUUGCGAAGGCAGUUCACUAAGGUUGUAUUGACACUGAGGCACGA